rnacentral:rRNA from 1 species
AUUGAACGCUGGCGGCAGGCCUAACACAUGCAAGUCGAACGAGUGGCGGACGGGUGAGUAAUGUCUGGGAAACUGCCUGAUGGAGGGGGAUAACUACUGGAAACGGUAGCUAAUACCGCAUACCAUCAGAUGUGCCCAGAUGGGAUUGGCUUGUUGGUUGGGUAACGGCUAACCAGGGCGACGAUCCCUAGCUGGUCGGAGAGGAGGACCAGCCACACUGGAACUGAGACACGGUCCGGACUCCUACGGGGGGCAGCAGUGGGGAAUAUGGCACAAUGGGCGCAAGCCUGAUGCAGACAUGCCGCGUGUAUGAAGAAGGCCUUCGGGUUGUAAAGUACUUUCAGCGGGGAGGCGUUACCCGCAGAAGAAGCACCGGCUAACUACGUGCCAGCAGCCGCGGUAAUUC